UACGUAGGUGGCAAGCGUUAUCCGGAAUGAUUGGGCGUAAAGGGUGCGCAGGCGGAACCAUAAGUCUGAAGUAAAAGCCAUCGGCUCAACCGAUGUAAGCUUUGGAAACUGUGGAUCUGGAGUGCAGGAGAGGAAAGCGGAAUUCCUAGUGUAGCGGUGAAAUGCGUAGAUAUUAGGAGGAACACCAGUGGCGAAGGCGGAUUGCUGGACAGUAACUGACGCUGAGGCGCGAAAGCGUGGGGAGCAAA
rnacentral:rRNA from 1 species